UCUUCAGACGAAAAUCUCGAGCCAGAGAGGCGAAAAACAGAAACCUCUUUCCCUUCUCAGUUUCUUCCGUCGAUCUCUGGAUCAAACCUCUUUCUCUUCUCUUCUUUUCUGUUUUAUCUCCUUCUUUUCUAAAAUCAUAGAGAAAGUAGAAAUUAGGGUUUCAAUCCCUAUUUUAUGACAAAUCUGAAUCAAUGGCGGAUGAUGGAUUUCGGAGAAAUUAGAGUUGGAUUUCGGUGAAAAAGGUAUUGGUUCCUCUUUAAUUCAAGAUGUAAGAGAGGGGUAUUGUGAUCGAUGGAUUCUGUUGUUGUGAAGAACAUAGGAUUAGAAUUCAGAUUUCUGCUGCUAAUUCAUGACGAGAAAGAGAUGAAGAACUGAAUAUUGAAUAGGGAUUUCUUCUGGGGAUUGAGUUACGGAGAUGGGUUCAAUUGAUUUUAGGGGUUUGAACUGAUUUGGAUUGAGCAACUGAUGAUGAUUUAGAGUUUGUAGAAGAUGGAUCUAUGCUCGAUUUGUGAGAAGAAUAAUUGGCAGUUUAUGUUUGCAAUUGGGUCAUUCUCGAAUUUCGUGGGAGCAAAUCAGGGAAUGAGACCGCAGGGGUGGCUACCUUUCUUUGACAGUGCUUAUCAGGCUGUUGUAGAUGGGGAAGAGAAAUCGAACAACCUCGAGAGAGGGAUGAUACCAAGUGAAACGUAUUUUUUAUUUGAAGCAUCCAAUGCGAGUGGUAUCAACAUCGCGUUUCAUUUCCCUCGUAACAUGCCUGUUUUUUUACUCUCUCCACAUGUAUUCUUCUCUACUAUUUAAUUUAGUAAGUUGUCUUCUGAUUGUUUUUACACUUUUUAUGCACCUGGAUAAGUUAUAAAACUAUUGUAUUUACAUGGAGAUAUGCAGAUUGUCAACCAACAUGAAGCCGCCAGCAGCAACAUUAUCUGGCAUGAGGAGUUCAAUCGCCAGUCACUAGGUAUAGGUGAUCUAAGUGCAGAAUUUGCUGAUAUCUUCCAAAGAGCAUUUUCUUCCCGUGUUUUUCCCGCCCAUAUGACCAAUAAGCAAUCUCCGCUUAGACGAAAUUAGUCUUUUCUUAUUUAAUUGGUUAUAUGGGCCUCCUGGUACUAGAAAGACCCUUAUGGCUCGUCAAAUUGGUCAAAUGUUAAAUGGAAAGAACCCAAUGGUCAAUGAUGGUCGAUUAAGGACAACUGGUGAGGCUUCUCCAAGGAGUACUAAGAAAGAUUGGGUAUAGUGGAUGAGGCAUUUUGUUAUUGAGCUUCUUAAACAAACCCAAUCUCCAUCUUUUUUUCCUUGCCUUGUGCGAGGCUUGCGCAAUUGCAGACUUUGUGAGUUGUUGGGCUCAGCUGACGAUAAAUUUUUAUGAGAAGCUUCUAGUGCCUGGUCUCAAAAUGGAUGGGUGAAAGUGAGAGUCGAUUAUUUAAGUGGCCAGCGGGGGGAAGGAAAUGAGAGUGAAGCUUCUUGACGGAUCAAAACAGAACUUCUUGUACAGAUGCAGAUGCUAUACAUGUGUUGGUUGCGAUUCCACUUGAAACUGUGGUACCUGAUUAUGUACAUUGAUAUCUUUAAUGGCGAAAACGAGCGAGGUCCAGUUUUUGUAAGAAACUUGUUAGACAUUUCCCGUUUUUCGUAUUUGAAGACAUCAUUGUAAAUGGUUUUUCUGUAAUAAGUUGCUGGAAAUUGACACCAUCAUGCUGCAAGCCUGCAAGGAUAAAUUCAUAAUUUGCUGUGUUACAGAAAUUUUGUGUUCAAAGACGAAAUUUUGUGUUCAAGGAUAAAUUCAUUACUUCCAACAUCUAAGUUUACUUGUCAUACUAAUGCAGCCUGUUGUAUUUUGCAUGAUUGUAUUCAAGUUUUUUAGGCAGUUAGUAAGUUUCUAUGUGUUCCCUUAGAAAUUUGGAACCUUCCAUGUAUUCCCUUAGAAAUUUAAUACUUAACAAAAAAAAAAGUUUGGUACUUUGAGAAAU